AUCUACGAGAUGUUCUUCCUUCGAUCAUCAACCAAUUGGGCCCUGACAACAUGGAGCACCUGAAGAGGAUUGCUGAGGAGAUGCAGAAGCAGGUGGCUGCUGCGAGCGCCAUCCAGCCCAAGCAGGAGAAUGACGACGAUGUUUCGGAGCUUGUUCCUAGAGAGACCUUUGAGGAGGUAGCCCAGGAGACAAAAGCCUGAUCUCAUAGACUCCGCCCUGCCAAUAGUGAAGCAUUACUUGACCCGAACUGCUACGUGCUCAUGGUUUUCUAUGAUGGCCCUGUUUUGCUCCCUCUCCUAGGCCUUCUGUAUUUGUUGCAGUUGGAAACUUUUAGUUUCUCUCGAGUUUUUAUCCGAGUUAUGAAUGAUGAGUUGCCAGUGGAUUCCUUUUUAGCUGCUUUUUGAUGAUGAUUGCA